rnacentral:rRNA from 2 species
GUGGACGCCAGUCUGCAUGGAGCCGACCUUGAAAUACCACCCUUUAAUGUUUGAUGUUCUAACGUGGACCCGUAAUCCGGGUUGCGGACAGUGUCUGGUGGGUAGUUUGACUGGGGCGGUCUCCUCCUAAAGAGUAACGGAGGAGCACGAAGGUUGGCUAAUCCUGGUCGGACAUCAGGAGGUUAGUGCAAUGGCAUAAGCCAGCUUGACUGCGAGCGUGACGGCGCGAGCAGGUGCGAAAGCAGGUCAUAGUGAUCCGGUGGUUCUGAAUGGAAGGGCCAUCGCUCAACGGAUAAAAGGUACUCCGGGGAUAACAGGCUGAUACCGCCCAAGAGUUCAUAUCGACGGCGGUGUUUGGCACCUCGAUGUCGGCUCAUCACAUCCUGGGGCUGAAGUAGGUCCCAAGGGUAUGGCUGUUCGCCAUUUAAAGUGGUACGCGAGCUGGGUUUAGAACGUCGUGAGACAGUUCGGUCCCUAUCUGCCGUGGGCGCUGGAGAACUGAGGGGGGCUGCUCCUAGUACGAGAGGACCGGAGUGGACGCAUCACUGGUGUUCGGGUUGUCAUGCCAAUGGCACUGCCCGGUAGCUAAAUGCGGAAGAGAUAAGUGCUGAAAGCAUCUAAGCACGAAACUUGCCCCGAGAUGAGUUCUCCCUGAGACUUAGAGUCUCCUGAAGGAACGUUGAAGACGACGACGUUGAUAGGCCGGGUGUGUAAGCGCAGCGAUGCGUUGAGCUAACCGGUACUAAUGAACCGUGAGGCUUAACCUUACAACGCCGAAGCUGUU